rnacentral:lncRNA from 1 species
UUAAACGUGGCAAGCAAGCACCAAACAGCAAGGUGCCUGUGCAUUGUUACGGAGCAAUAAAACAUAUGCAUACAUGAAUUGAAUAUGCCUUCCUAUUUCACAAUUCCUUACAAAUUGAACAUCGUGAGUCCAAAAUUAAAACAAACAAAACCGGUAACUGAGAUGUGAUAAUAAUCCACAAGGGACAUGUCCAUAAUGCUUAACAAGCUACAUAUCUUCAACAAUUUGCUUAGAUGAUAUAAAGCGAUCUUCAUACUAUAAUGUUGCUCCUAAAUUUGAUUGAUAAUCCUGAAUUUUAGCCCUACCUUCUUCCUCAUUGAUUUAACCUGCUCAUUCUCAAAAUCAGACAAAGGAUAGUUGAAUGUAAAUGACUGAAACCAAGUUACAAGAAGACGAACAAAUUUAAAAUGCUCAGUUGCGUUCAGGUUGUAGCAUUCAACCUAAGCAAUGAUGCCAGCACGCGAAGCAAUCAAGUUGCUGAUCUAGAAAAGAAGUGAAAAGUUAACCUUUCAUGCCCCUGAUCUAGCAUGCAAAAUUGUUGCACAGGGGUCACCACCGGUAGCCAGAAGAAUUAUGUCAGCAGCCUCAUCAUCGUACUGCUCAUACAUGAGAUGUGAAAAGGUAUAGAAAUCCACAAAUUCUACUAAAAAAUCUGCAAGCACAAGCUUUUACAUGGCCAGUUACUCACUUGGAGGAAGACUGCACGAGCGAAGUCAAUGCCAAAAGAGAUGAUCACCUUGUACAGGUCCCUCUGCAACUAACUAAAAAUCUUGGAAAUAUCAUUUUUACCAGAAUUCUCAUGUACAACAGGAAGUCUCUAGUUCUUACCAGAAGGAACAUAACUGCCUUUUCAUUUCCCACUCAUGAUCGCAUAGCAGACACAGGCUCAACCAAGCUUUCUGAAAACUGCAGGAAGGAUGAGCAUAAUCAGCAAUUUCAGUCAGGCGAGCACAAAUGUAUACUUCAGUAGUAAACCACUGCCAAGAAAACAUAAUAAAUGCAUCAACCACAACCGAAUUUUGUAUUCACCAUUUUCUAUCUUCAAUUUUAAAAGAGAAUUCAUUGCCACAAUGGGAUGGGGCAUGCUUUCCUUUAACACUAUCUGACACUGCCGUACGAGAUUCUUUGGUACUAUAUAUUAAAAGACCAAUCUUAAAAUAAUAUAUGCAAAUAAAAAAGAACAAAACUAUGCAACAUGAUGUUCAAACUUCUGAACAAUAACAUUUACCAGUUCAUUUGGUCCAGAGGCCCCUCAACCAAAUGAAAACAAACAAAAUAAAUAAUUUGCACAGUGUCGUGUUCGGGAAACAUCGAGCAUGGACUCAUGUCGAGGAAAAUUAAAAG